UGACAAGAAGCCCUACACUCGCUAUCAAGUUCUCUCUCUCUCUCUCUCUCUCUCACACACACACACGCACACAAACACACACAGGAGAAACACCUUCGAGGGGCUUCAUAUAUAUAUAUAUAAUAUAUAUACCUCGAAGUAAACGGGAUCAUAGGUUGACUUGAGAUCAAUUUACAGCUAAGCUCUCCACGAUCUAGGCGAUAUACUAAACAUCUACAUCGACCUCUGCAUUCUGCAUCCACCAUUCCAAAAUACAGCAUAGAAUAAGGAGGCUAUCAUGCAAAGACACCAAAACCCAGGCUUAUGCCCGUGGCCGUAGCAUUACUUGCGGAGUGAUCCGUAGUUUGCGUACUCGAUCCGGUUGAGCUCGAGCUUUUAUACGGUCUGUGUUGCGCAAGCAACGAUCCAUAGGCAACACGAUCGAGUACAGCGCCUUGAUGGUGAUGCCUCCUCGCGGCGUGCCUGCCAACGCACGGGAAACGCUGGCGUUUGCUUCUGCUGCUGGACUUCCUCGGCUUGUUUGUGAGCCCCGAGAGAGUCGACUCGUACGGUGGAUAUACAAACGAGAGCAGAUGGAGCAGCGUCGGACAUGCAGAAGGCUGCCGACUGUAUGUAUGCGCAAAGCCAUCAGAGUCGCAGUGGAGAAUCGUGACGGACGCACAUGCCGCACCGGAAAGAACGCCGGUCCUCUUCGCUAUGUCCACCGGGGGGUGCCAUCUCUCACGUGCACCCAUGCACGUCAACUUUUAUUUUGUUUAUAUAUACAAAUACAUAAUUUUGGAUGAAUUGUCGAAAGAAUUUAUUUUAUGUUUUUUUUUGCUUCUUUUCAUAAUUUCUAAAGGGUGUUUCUCAUUUUACUGUAAUCCUUAAAAUGUCUCUUGAUAAGAUAAACAGUACAGUAUCUACUGAGUAUACCCUAUGGAUUGAUCUAAUUAUUCAGUUAUAAUAUUAUCAUGUUUUGAUAGAGA